GGGCCCGCACAAGCGGUGGAGUAUGUGGUUUAAUUCGAUGCAACGCGAAGAACCUUACCAGGGUUUGACAUCCUGCGAAUCUCUUGGAAACGAGAGAGUGCCUUCGGGAACGCAGUGACAGGUGGUGCAUGGCUGUCGUCAGCUCGUGUCGUGAGAUGUUGGGUUAAGUCCUAUAACGAGCGCAACCCUUACCCUUAUUUGCCAGCGGUUAGGCCGGGAACUAUAAGGGGACUGCCGGUGAUAAACCGGAGGAAGGUGAGGACGACGUCAAGUCAUCAUGGCCCUUACGUGUAGGGCUACACACGUGCUACAAUGGGGAGUACAGAUAGACGCUAAAGCGCGAGCUGGUGCUAAUCUCAUAAAACUCUUCGUAGUCCGGAUUGCAGUCUGCAACUCGACUGCAUGAAGUCGGAAUCGCUAGUAAUCGC
rnacentral:rRNA from 1 species